GCAAGGUCUCUACAAAACUCUGGCUGCCCUGGAACUUGCUUUGUAAACCAGGUUGGUCUUAACCUCAGAGAUCUGCCUGCCUUGGUCUCCGAAGCGUGGAAUUAAAGCCUUCACCCCGUGAUAUCUGACUCCGGGUUUUUAUUGACACCAAUUAGAAAUCAUGUUCCAGCUGCAUGAUAACUCCUGAACCACUAGAGGACGAUGCUCUUGUGAGCCCGACCAAGAGGAAAUAUGUACUCUAUCAAAACCCGCUCAUCACCAAAGAGGUCUCCGUGAAAGUUCUCGAAAAGCUGGGCAGAACGAUAAAAAAGGAGUGUAGCAAGCUGAAAAUUGUGACCGAAGUGGGUGCUAAAACGAAGCUCUGAGAAAGCUCCAGCUCUGCUCCGGGACACUAGAAGAGAUGCCCCAAAGACAGGACCUGCCAAUCAAAUUCAUUCGCUAGGAGAGAGCCUUAACUGAGUGCAGUGGAGGGGUCUACUGCUGCAAAAUGACACUUAGGGAUGCAUUUCCCCAUGGUCAGCCUGGGAGACACACAGAGACCGAUACAAAUGUGGUCCAGGAUGGCUAGCCUCCAGUACAAGCUGGCAGCAGGACUUGGCAGCAGCAUUCGCCUGGUACACUCCCUUUACAGUAAUGAAAUAUGCAGUCCUGAGGGGGUCAUGGAGUCUUGCACUAUGGUUCCAGAAGACUGCAGGGGCCAGACUGUGUGUGGCAGACUUGAAGCCCUGCUAGGGGCCCCUGGAGGUCACUCCAUUAAGCUGUGGUGAUGAAGCCUAAGCUUCACUGGAGACCCUGGGAUUUUGGAAAUGCCAGGACCAUGAGUUGUCUGCCAAGGAAAGCUGAAGGCAUAGAACACAACGGGCCCAAGAGGGAGGCCCUGCUUUCUGCAAGCAGCACAGCUGGAGCGGCGGGGCUGCCUAAACCCUCUGGAACCCAGAAGAUCCCCCCUCAAGAGCCGGAUGCCAGAUGCGGAGCUGCUGGAUUUGUUUGCUUUACUGGGAUUUUGGUCUUGCUUUGGUAUGGGCCCUUAUUGCUAUGUCUUAGUUUUCCCUUUUGGAAUGAGAAUGUUUCUUGUGUGCUAUUAUUUGUUGGAAGCAUGUCACUUGUUUUUUAUUUUAUAGAUCAAAAAUGGGACUUGGAAUUCAAACUUUCAGUGUUGGAGCUGUUCAAGGAUGAUGUUAAAGUUAAAACCUUCCUUUUUAUUUAAACAGAAAAGGGGAGAUGAUGUGGGAUUCCCCUCUG